AAUAAGAUGCCUGAAUUAAAAGGUUCAUUUUGAUAGAAUGAGUAAUGUAUAUUUUAUACUCUUGUUG
rnacentral:tRNA from 1 species